AUUGAACGCUGGUGGCAGGCUUAACACAUGCAAGUCGAGCGGAGAUGAGGUGCUUGCACCUUAUCUUAGCGGCGGACGGGUGAGUAAUGCUUAGGAAUCUGCCUAUUAGUGGGGGACAACAUUCCGAAAGGAAUGCUAAUACCGCAUACGCCCUACGGGGGAAAGCAGGGGAUCUUCGGACCUUGCGCUAAUAGAUGAGCCUAAGUCGGAUUAGCUAGUUGGUGGGGUAAAGGCCUACCAAGGCGACGAUCUGUAGCGGGUCUGAGAGGAUGAUCCGCCACACUGGGACUGAGACACGGCCCAGACUCCUACGGGAGGCAGCAGUGGGGAAUAUUGGACAAUGGGCGGAAGCCUGAUCCAGCCAUGCCGCGUGUGUGAAGAAGGCCUUUUGGUUGUAAAGCACUUUAAGCGAGGAGGAGGCUACCUGGAUUAAUACUCUAGGAUAGUGGACGUUACUCGCAGAAUAAGCACCGGCUAACUCUGUGCCAGCAGCCGCCGCGGUAA
rnacentral:rRNA from 1 species